GUGACUCUUGUGUUAGCUGCCUCCUGUUUCACUCAGGUACCCCUCCACAGCGAGGCUACUCUCAGAAGACAGUCCACCUCUGACCCAGCUCCUGUCACAGGUGAGCUCACCUGCUCUGAUCACCUCCUUCUAGCCCCUCCCUCCCUCCUGACACCUCCUGACACUGUGACUUCUGUACAUUCACAUCAGAUAACAGCCUGUUUAUGAGAGGAGCACAUCUGAAGGAGUAUGUUGGAAUGUUUGCAGCCUCAUGUUGAUCACAGAGCCUGCGCUGUUUCACCUGAAGACCGCGGGACCACGUGUGCGUAAUAGGAGGAAACACACAGAAGCAUCAGAGCAGAGGAGAGAAGAAGACAUCCAGCUGAGCUCAGGUAGAUGAUGGCGUGUGUGUUGGCUCUUCUCGUCCUGUCCCUCCUCCUGAUUGGUCCGUCAGCGUCACCUCCGUCUUCAGGUGACGUGUCAGAGGGGGCGGAGCCGGCCUCUCACUGCCCGCCGCGCUGGCUCCUGUUGGGGCAGAGAUGCUUCGCUUUCUACCCCGUGUGGAGCUCCUGGAGCUCUGCUGAGUCCAUGUGCUCUCAGACAGGGGGUCACCUGGCUUCCCUUCACACCCCGGAGGAGAGGCUGUUCGUGGGUCAGCUGGUGAGAACACACACACCUGUGUGGCUGGGUGGACGCCGGGCCCAACAGAACGGCUCCUGGGUUUGGACUGACGAUCAGAACCAGGAAGAGACCGGCGAGGGCGGGGCUUGCAUGCAAAUGGACCCAAUAAGUGGAGAGCUGCAUGGCGCCCCCUGUGGAGAGCUCUGGUUCUACAUCUGCUCCACCGCAGCCAGGUCUGAAGACUUCCAGUCACCAGUCAAGUCAGGUCUCGCCCCCAAUGUGAGUCUGUUCCAUGCAGUGUGGGGUAAAAACGACAUGUUGGCCGAGGAGAUUCUCCGCUCAUCCUGCUUCUUCCAGGAGCUCCGGUCCGGUCGCCUGAAGCAGCGCUGCUACAGCAGCUUCAUGCAGCAGGAGGCGCUCUACCUGCAGAGAGUCAGCAGCAUGCUGGAGGUCAGAGGUCGUCAAUGUCGGACUGCAUCCUUUCUUUACUUCUGUCUUUUCAUUUCUUUACUUCUGUCUUCUUUCUGUUUUUCUUUCCUUCUUUAUUUCUUUCUUUUUUUUCUUUCAUUCUUUCUUUCUUUUCAUUCUUUCUUUCUUUCUUUUCUGUUUUUCUUUCUUUCUUUCUUUUCUGUCUUUCUUUUCUUUCAUUCUUUCUUUCUUUCUUUUCUGUUUUUCUUUCUUUCUUUCUUUUCUGUCUUUCUUUCUUUCAUUCUUUCUUUGUUUCUUUUCUGUUUUUCUUUCUUUUCAGUCUUUCUUUCUUUCUUUCUUCCUUUCUUUUCAUUCGUUCUUUCUGUCUUUCUUUUCUUUUUUCUUUCUUUUCAUUCUUUCUUUCUUUUCAUUGCUUUCUUUUCUGUUUUUCUUUCAUUCUUUCUUGUGUCUUCUGUUUUUCUUUCUUUUUCUUUCUUUCUUUCUUUCUUUCUUUCUUUCUUUCUUUUCAUUCUUUCUUCCUUUCCUUUGUUUCUGUCUUUCUUUGUAUUUCUUUGUAUUCUUUCUUUCUUCCUUUUCAUUCAUUCUUUCUUUCUUUCUGUCUUUUUUUUCAUUUUCUCAUCUUUUUUUUUAUUUCUUUUCUGUUUUUCUUUCUUUCUUCUUUCUUUCGUUUCUUUCUUCCUUCCUUUCUUUUCAUUCUUUCAUUCUUUCUUCCUUUCCGUUCUUUCUGUCUUUCUUUUCAUUCUUUCUGCCUUUCUUUCUUUUCAUUCUUUCUUUCUCUCAGAACUUUUUUUUGUUUUUUAUUAA
ensembl:lncRNA